AAAGUCGUAACAAGGUUUCCGUAGGUGAACCUGCGGAAGGAUCAUUAGUGAAUAACAGGACGUUCAAUUUAACUUGAAGUCCGAACUCUCACAUCUAACCCUGUGCAUUUGUUUUGGUUAGUAGAGCGCUUGCGUUCGAACACCUCUUCAUUUUACAAACACUAAGUCAAAGUAUGUUUAAAUUUAUAACAAAACAAAACUUUCAACAACGGAUCUCUUGGCUCUC
rnacentral:misc_RNA from 1 species